rnacentral:tRNA from 1 species
GUAACAAUAGCUCAGUGGUAGAGCAUUCGACUGCAGAUCGAACGGCCCCGGGUUCAACUCCCGGUCGCUCCU